rnacentral:tRNA from 1 species
GUGGAUGUAGCUCAGUUGGUUAGAGCGCUGGAUUGUGGUUCCAGAGGUCGCCGGUUCAAAACCGGUCUUCCACCCCA